rnacentral:rRNA from 1 species
UGGUCAAGUUAUUAAGGGUGCAGGGCGGAUGCCUUGGCACUAGGAGCCGAUGAAGGACGUGAUAAGCUGCGA